rnacentral:rRNA from 1 species
GUGGGGAAUCUUGGACAAUGGGGGCAACCCUGAUCCAGCCAUGCCGCGUGAACGAUGAAGGCCCUAGGGUUGUAAAGUUCUUUCAGCGGGGAAGAUAAUGACGGUACCCGCAGAAGAAGCCCCGGCUAACUCCGUGCCAGCAGCCGCGGUAAUACGGAGGGGGCUAGCGUUGUUCGGAAUUACUGGGCGUAAAGCGCACGUAGGCGGACCAUCAAGUCAGAGGUGAAAUCCCGGAGCUCAACUCCGGAACUGCCUUUGAAACUGCUGGUCUGGAGAUCGAGAGAGGUGAGUGGAAUUCCGAGUGUAGAGGUGAAAUUCGUAGAUAUUCGGAGGAACACCAGUGGCGAAGGCGGCUCACUGGCUCGAUACUGACGCUGAGGUGCGAAAGCGUGGGGAGCAAACAGGAUUAGAUACCCUAGUAGUCC